AUUGAACGCUAGCGGGAUGCCUUACACAUGCAAGUCGAACGGAGUGGCGAACGGGUGAGUAAUGUAUCGGAACGUGCCCCGUAGCGGGGGAUAACUACGCGAAAGCGUAGCUAAUACCGCAUACUAUUGGAGCGGCCGAUAUCGGAUUCGCUAGUUGUUUGGGUAACGGCUAACCAAGGCGACGAUCCGUAGCUGGUUUGAGAGGAGGACCAGCCACACGGGGACUGAGACACGGCCCAGACUCCUACGUGAGGCGGCAGUGGGGAGUUUUGUACAAGGGGGGAAACCCUGAACCAGCCAUCCCGCGUGUGCGAUGAAGGCCUUCGGGUUGUAAAGCACUUUUGGCAGGAAAGCGGUACCUGCAGAAUAAGCACCGGCUAACUACGUGCCAGCAGCCGCGGUAAUUC
rnacentral:rRNA from 1 species